rnacentral:rRNA from 1 species
UACGUAGGGAGCAAGCGUUGUUCGGAUUUACUGGGCGUAAAGGGCUCGUAGGCGGCCAACUAAGUCAUACGUGAAAUCCCUCAGCUUAACUGGGGAACUGCGUGUGAUACUGGAUGGCUUGGAUUUGGGAGAGGGAUGCGGAAUUCCAGGUGUAGCGGUGAAAUGCGUAGAUAUCUGGAGGAACACCGGUGGCGAAGGCGGCAUCCUGGACCAAUAUUGACGCUGAGGAGCGAAAGCCAGGGGAGCAAACGGG